UACGGAGGGUGCAAGCGUUAAUCGGAAUUACUGGGCGUAAAGCGCACGCAGGCGGUUUGUUAAGUCAGAUGGGAAAUCCCCGGGCUCAACCUGGGAAAUGCAUCAGUUACUGGCAAGAUUGAGUCUCGGAGAGGGGGGUGGAAUUCCAGGUGUAGCGGUGAAAUGCGUAGAGAUAUGGAGGAACACCGGUGGCGAAGGCGGCCCCCUGGACGGAGACUGACGCUGAGGCGCGAAAGCGUGGGGAGCAAACAGG
rnacentral:rRNA from 1 species